GACGAACGCUGGCGGCGUGCCUAAUACAUGCCAGUAGAACGCACAGUUUAUACCGUAGCUUGCUACACCAUAGACUGUGAGUUGCGAACGGGUGAGUAACGCGUAGGUAACCUGCCUGGUAGCGGGGGAUAACUAUUGGAAACGAUAGCUAAUACCGCAUAAUAUUAAUUAUUGCAUGAUAAUUAAUUGAAAGGUGCAAUUGCACCACUACCAGAUGGACCUGCGUUGUAUUAGCUAGUAGGUGAGGUAACGGCUCACCUAGGCGACGAUACAUAGCCGACCUGAGAGGGUGAUCGGCCACACUGGGACUGAGACACGGCCCAGACUCCUACGGGAGGCAGCAGUAGGGAAUCUUCGGCAAUGGACGAAAGUCUGACCGAGCAACGCCGCGUGAGUGAAGAAGGUUUUCGGAUCAUAAAGCUCUGUUGUAAGAGAAGAACGGGUGUGAGAGUGGAAAGUUCACACUGUGACGGUAUCUUACCAGAAAGGGACGGCUAACUACGUG
rnacentral:rRNA from 1 species